CUUUGAAUCAUCAAAUGAGAUGUACCUCACACCCAAAGAUGCUAUCCCAGUUUCUAAAAAGAUGAACAUUUAGCUCAAGAAGAAUUGAAUAUCACCAUUGAGGGUAAAUUUGAGAAAAUAGAUAUAUUUCCACCAAAAUACAAGAGUUCCACCAUCACUCCAAUGGAGACAGAAGCCAAGCUGGAAACCAGUGCCCUGAAAGCUGGGAUAUCCUCUCACCUCAUCUUGGGGAUCACCAUCAGGUUCUGACCUUCCUCUCAGUCUUGCAGAGCCUUGCUGGCCACCAGAACUUUCCCAUACUUUUUUUUCUUAACAAUCACCUGGUUCUGAUGUAUGCUGAUUCAAUC
rnacentral:lncRNA from 1 species